GUUUAGGUUCCUAUCUUCUUGCUAAAUAUAUCUCUUGUCCACCCCUCCCACCCCCUAGCCAUUUUAUAAGCGGAAAGCAUGUCUGGCCUAACCAAUGCCAGUUGAGGCAAAACGGACAAAAUAACCUCCCCGGACUAUAAUAUUCCAAAAUGAUGGAACCAAUAUGCUCUUAAGGCUUGUUAACCUGUUCCUCUUGUCCGUCCUCCCCACUGUCUUACCCCCUUACUGGUGCAAAGAGACCACUAACAUACAAUUAUUUGUUGAGCCAAAACAAACAUAAAUCCAGAUCUUAUUUUAAAAAGAUAAUAAUCUUUGUGGAGAGAUUAUAUCCUAUACCAUAUAUACCAUGCGGUCAUAUACACCGUUAAUUAUAGCCACCCAAUUUUACGGACCUAAUGCAUUAAACAUUCAUCUCCAUAUAUUACUAUAAGUGAUUGUCA
rnacentral:lncRNA from 1 species